AGCGGGAGGAAGCCGGAGCACCCGGAGAGAACCUACGCAGACAUGGGGAGAACAUGAAAGGCUGGGACGACCGGGGUUCGAAUCCACGACCUUCUUGCUGUGAGCACUCGACACGGGUUUGGUCUUCACCAUCUUUUGAAUCCAUGGAUGCUGCAGGGCGCUUUAUUGGAUCAUAUCUAAGUAACAAGAUAGAUGCACGAAAUGAAGAGAGUGAUACACAAACAAAUGUAUCCUGACCAUUUACAGAUUUAUGCUUAUUGAGUGCUGUACUUACAAAUGUUAUACUUAACAUAUAUACAAUCAUUCGCUCUCAGCAGCAGUGCACUUACUCAAGGCAGCACUCAAUGAAAUCCACAAAAUAAACGUUCUUAGAAUUCAGGUGUAUGGCCAGAGUGGUGCUGUAGCCCAAUAUGUCUAUUAUUUUCAGUGGGUGCCAUCAGAAUCUGCAUAACCAUAAAAGAUUCAUAAGCAAGUUACAAGAUACUGUCUGUACUGUAUGUAAAGGCAGCCAAGAAAAGGUUUAAAUUCUUAAAUGGUUUUGCUCACCAAAGAAGUUGUUUCUUUUGGGUGCUUCCACCAGCAGCUCUGUAGGAGGGACACCGAGCACCUAAAAGAAUCUGGAUUGAACAGUUGGGUUAGAAUAUAAUAAUAAUUAAAAUUAUUAUUAUUAUUAUUUUUAUUAUUUAAUGCUUUGGUUGCAUAUGCACUGGUUUUAUUGGAUGUAAUCACAAAGUAAGGCAGCACAGAGGUGCCGCUUGGUGCAAAAAAAAAUCUAAAUCCUCACCAACAGACAAGCUAAAUUACAUCGAUUACAAAUAUUUCUCCUUUUGUAACAGACAUCUUAGUGCAGCAUAACCAUUAAAAGUGACUUACAGGGGGAAACAUUAAUAGUCAAGUUACUCUAAAACCAAAACAAAGGCAAUGGCAGUGUUUUGUUUUACUGUGACUUAAAGGUUUAUACAUUGACUCGGUCCCCAAUAGUGGAGGAAGAAGUAUUCAGAUCCUUUACUUAAUUAAAAGUACAAAAAUUUUUUGUACAUAGUUACAUUCCACCAGUGGUCCUGGAGGAUCAAGAUUAUCAAAUUACAACAAAUAAUUCCAGCCAUUGUUGAACCAUUGGAUAAAAAAAUAAGUAAUAAUAAGUACAGCUACUAACAAACCUCUGCAUUGCAUAAAAAUGAGCAACAGAAAACAUGACACAAAGCCUACACAAAGCCUGUGGAGUCAAACUCCUCAAUGGGGCCCCCUGAUGACCAGGAUUUAUGAAUAUCCAAGAGCAGUUUCCUCUCAAGACAAACCCUGUCUGUUCUUUCCAUCCCGAUGCACCAAAGAUCUUAAUAAAAAUACUGGUUUUGUGUUACAAGUAAUGCAAGACUUAGUUUAAUAAGUUCUGGAGGGCCGACCUUUUGUUAGGCCUCAUUUAGUUUUUUUCAUCUUUUGCAAUAAAGAAUACAGUAUCUGCUUGUCAUGUUACUUUAAUGUGCCAUUCAUAUUGCAAAGUCUAUGCAACGCAUGUACAGGUCACCUUUUAUUCAAUGACAGAGGAUGGUAGCUAUUAGCUAAUGAUGUAUUAUUUGUGUCAGUGGGUUGUCAACAGGGAAUAAUAGUGAUUUAGUUUUGGUGCUCUUUUCCACGCUGAGAAAAUAGCUGGUAAUUUUGAGUUGCUCUAAUGAUUGGAAAACUAGUACCAAUGGACGGUUGACAAUGACUGAUUCUAGCAAUAAAUCAAUGGUGUGUGUUAGAUGUUAGGUGUACAGUCUGUGUUUAAUAUAAUGUAACAGAUGACCAAAAUGAAAACGAGAAAAAUAACAAUCACAAGUUACGACUUGUCUCAAAUGACGAUUUGCUGCACUUGAAUACAAUAAAUCCUCAUUAGAAUUCACAUUAUUCACACAGUAACGUCAUAACGUCAACUGUUUUUGGACCAGUUGAACCAACCUUUUUGUGUUGUAACGUUGGUCUGGGAAUGUUUUCUCUUCUUGGCUGGAGUUUCACAAGUGGUGGUUUUUUAUGUCGCGUGUGCAUCAUCUUGGAAACGUAGAACGGAAACGCCUCUUUAUCUCUCUUACUGAAUUGUUCCUAAUAAAUGUUCUAAUGCCUAUGUGGAAUGUUGCAGAAGUUCUAAUGACAGUAUAAUGAGACAUGUCACAGAGAUUCUAUUGACAAAGUCAGCUGAGUUCCAGUUAGAGGCUGGCCUGAGGUCAGUGGAUGAUCCAGGAAAUGACUCUGGGAUGUAAUCAUUUCAGCAUUACAGUCAGACAAGGAAAAAACAUUAUCAUAACAGUAACAACUCUUUUUGAUCGGUUUACAGUCUCAGACAUGAAUUAUACAGGUUUUUCAAAUA